rnacentral:rRNA from 1 species
AUUGAACGCUGGCGGCAGGCCUAACACAUGCAAGUCGAACGAGUGGCGGACGGGUGAGUAAUGUCGGGGAAACUGCCUGAUGGAGGGGUAUCAAUACUGGAAACGGUAGAUAAUAGCGCAUACCAUCAGAUGUGCCCAGAUGGGAUUUGCUUGUGGGUGGGGUAACGUCUCACCAAGGCGACGCUCCCUAGCUGGUCGGAGAGGAUGACCAGCCACACUGGAACUGAGACACGGUCCAGACUCCUACGGGAGGCAGCAGUGGGGAAUAUUGCACAAUGGGCGCAAGCCUGAUGCAGCCAUGCCGCGUGUAUGAAGAAGGCCUUCGGGUUGUAAAGUACUUUCAGCGGGGAGGCGUUACCCGCAGAAGAAGCACCGGCUAACUCCGUGCCAGCCGCCGCGGUAAUUC